rnacentral:rRNA from 1 species
AACGAACGCUGGCGGCAUGCCUAACACAUGCAAGUCGAACGAGACCUUCGGGUCUAGUGGCGCACGGGUGCGUAACGCGUGGGAACCUGCCCUUAGGUUCGGAAUAACUCCCCGAAAGGGGUGCUAAUACCGGAUAAUGUCUUCGGACCAAAGAUUUAUUGCCUUUGGAUGGGCCCGCGUUGGAUUAGCCUGUUGGUAGGGUAAAAGCCUACCAAGGCGACGAUCCAUAGCUGGUCUGAGAGGAUGAUCAGCCACACUGGGACUGAGACACGGCCCAGACUCCUACGGGAGGCAGCAGUGGGGAAUAUUGGACAAUGGGCGAAAGCCUGAUCCAGCAAUGCCGCGUGAGUGAUGAAGGCCUUAGGGUUGUAAAGCUCUUUUACCCGGGAUGAUAAUGACAGUACCGGGAGAAUAAGCGCCGGCUAACUCCGUG